UCAGCUUUGGUGCUUUAGGUAGCGUGUCAGUCUUGCAAGCUGAAGGUCCUAAGUUCGAUCCUCAGAAGGAGGG
rnacentral:tRNA from 1 species